rnacentral:lncRNA from 1 species
CCCCGCGAAACGGUACAUAAAAUAUCGCGACUUUUGCGAAGUUACCGUUUUGCCAUUACAGACCUCUCCUCGAUCAACGCGCAAUCUCUGCAGAUCCGUCCGUCAGAUUUGCGAACGGAUUGCACCAGUGCGAUCAGCACGACGGAGACAACAAAGCUACGAUUUCGUUUCACCACGAUCGACCACGGAUUCGCGACAAAAUCCAAUCUUUCUCGCCAACAGAGGAAACAACACGAAAAUACAUUUAAAACAUGUAUUUUUGUAUUUUCUCGAAAU